rnacentral:lncRNA from 1 species
AAAUUGCUAAAUAUCCUUAAUAAUAACUAAAAUUCAUACAAAUUAACAUACUUCAAGGUCCAAACUGAUAUUAAAAUGCAUAUAGCUAAUACAAUUAAGUUCGAAUUAUCCCCAACACCAAUAAUAAAGUUCAAACCAAAAAGGUGUGAAUCAUACAAUAAAGUUCAAAACAUAAAGCUUUCGAACCAAAAAGAUGUAAAUCAUCCCUAACACCAAUAAUAACGUUCAAAACAAAAAUCUUCCAAAUACGAGGCUUAGGGGUUAAGGUCAUCAUCUGAAACGGAUGGAUGAACUCCAUGAACAACUUCCUAUAUUAUUUCCUGAUACAUUUGCGGUAAAAGAGGUGUAAUAAGUAGUGAAAUUAAAACAGUUAAGAAUGUUGAGCAUUUAAUUAACAAAUAGAAAGAUACUUUUCAUACUCUUUACAUUGUAGUAAAUAAGAUUAUAAAAUAUUGGACUUACAUGAACGAUUCGAGCUUUCUCAUCAAGAAAGACUUUCCAUCAUGCACAUGUGUAUGGACGUACAAAUGUAACUAAAUUGGUGUUGGGUCUCGACCCUUUUCAAUAGCCUAUACAUUUCUCAUCAAGAAAGACUUUCCAUCAUGCCCAUGUGUAUGGACGUACAAAUAUAACUCACUUGGUGUCGGGUCUCGACCCUUUUCAAUAGCCUAUACAAAAAUAAAAUAUUUUUAAAAGGAUAAAAAUAUUACUAUAGUAGAACCAGAAGUUUUGUCACACGUCUAAGUUAGCAUAUGCACUUGACCAUGUAUUAGCUCUAGCUGAUCAUUCUCUAUAACGUGCCUUCAAUUGGUUCUACUUUUGUGCUAAAUAGACUUGCUAUUGAAUUUAUUUGACUGAUUGAAAUUGUGUGUGUAGCAAUGUCUGUUCUCUAUUUUUGUUUCAACUUUGACAUUUUAUCAUCCUAAUAAUGAAGUCCAGAAUAUAUGCUUAUCUGGUACAAUUAUGGAUCAACAGGAGAGCGAUAUGAAUUUCCAAGAAAGUUUGUUGGAGACUACAUGAAUGCAAUAUAAAACUGGGCAAUUACAACAAGUGUGCUUAUCUGGUACAAUUGUGGAUCAAUAGGAGCACGAUAUGGAUUCCAAGAAAGUUUGGUGGAGACUACAUGAAUGCAAUAUAAAACUGGGUAAUCACAACAGACUCCUGCCCACUUUUUGGACCAUCUCUUACUCAAGGAAAGCAAACCUAUUCUUACUCAAGGAGAAAUAACAUAUUUCUUGGCUUCUGCAAAAUAUGUUACUCAAGGAACAUCUCUUUCAUUAAGAACAUAACAAUAAUAAAUAUAGUCUUUUAAACUUAGUAAGUCAUUUAAUGACAAACAAAUACUAGUAAGGUAACAGGCUAUCAAGCAGAGCCUCAGGGCAUUCAUGAGACUCAGAGAAGAUAACAGGCUAUCAAGCAGAGCCAAGAUAUCAUACUUCGACUCUUAAACAGAACUAUAUAAACAUAGUAAGAUAGAGCUAGCAAGCAGCCUAGAUUCCAUAGUGUUUAACUAGCAGACAAACCAAAGAUGAACGAUAAUAUUUUCUCUAUUAAAGUUAAUAUAAGCAAUUAUCAACACCAACAACAAGAAAUUAUAAGUUCCGAGUUGCAAUAAAGCUAAGCUGUGAUACACUUCAAAAGGAAUUUGCACGUGCAUGGCUUAUAAAAAAAGAAUCAAGCCGCACACAAGGGGAUGUGUUCAAUAUAUAGUUAAGUAAAUAAAAGUGUGACUUUAAAGCCAGCUUUUAGAUGAAAUAUUGACACUCUUAAACAAUUAUAGUUGCUAUGCCGUUGUCAGCUUAGAUAACAUAUUACGGAGUUGUUAAAUGGCAAAUUGGAGGGGCAAGAAUUCUUUUUUUCAUUUCUAUGUUCCCUGUACUUGGAAAUCCUAUUUAUCAAAGAGACAAUAUUACAAUUUAUAGGUAGUAUUGGUUCUUGAUUAUAAGGGAUGGAUAGCAAAUUAUUAUGUUCCUUUCAUUUUGAGAAUCAGAAGCACAUCGAAACUGUAAUUAUGGUUGUUGCACAAGCUUUGUGCAACUGUAUACACACAAACACAAAAACCAAUUCCAAUAUCAAGUAACAACAUUAACAUCUUAAUUAUAACAGUUAAUACACUUCCUAUAUUCAUGUUGUCGCGCUUCAAACAAGGCCUAAGUUAAGCUUAUGUCCCUGUCAGCAGUGAAUGACAAUCGGGGAGAUUAAAUUAGGUCGGUUGACGAGUUGAGAUUACUUUGUAUGUAUAACUCAAUCAGUCGAGGUAUGUUAGCUCAUAGUUGUUAUAGGGUCACGCGUUUUUUUCAUUUCCAAAAUUAUAGGUCUCAAGAUUUCCUCUCAAAUUCAUCUACUACAUUUCGGUUACUAAGAGUGCUGGGAUUGUGAUAAAUAAUACACAUUGUUUCUAUCGAUGAUAAAUUGUUCUAGUCGUUGAUAACAUACAUUACAUGCUUCUUUCAUAAAAGUUUCUCGUCGUCGUAUUUUUCUGCUACACAGCCUAAAUAGCAUUCUAAGCCACUCAACAUGUGCAAUGAUGAACUCGUGCGAAGCCAUAAUAAUGUUUGCUUCGAAAUUGAGACUACAACACCACCACCUUAUUAAAUGACCCUAAAUCUCAUACAGAUUGCAACAAGAUCGAAGAAAUGAGGUUAUGCUACAUAUUUAACCAUACACUCAACACAUAAUAAUACCAAUUGGCGGAAUUUGGAUUUGGAUGAAAAAACUAAUCAAGCUACCAGCUAUACAUAUCAGAUAAACAUGGUGAAGAAGACAAUACCUGAGAUUCUGCAAUAGUCAGAACCAUGGAAAGAAUCAUGGGUUGCAUUACCACAUUCCGGAGCUCAGCACAUAGUGGAGGAAGAACCUGAAUCAUAAUACAAAUAUGAUAAGUUCUCCAACCAUUUAGAAUUGCAAAAGCAAUUAAUAGAGUAAAGUAGCUGAAUAUUUACCUCAUCUAUUUGAUUUGAUGACCGAUCUACGGAUAAGAGCUACUUCCAAUCAUUGUUGGCAUAUCCCUCCCUCCUUUAAGACUGUCAAAUACCAAAACAAAUCAAUUGAUCAAGAUUUAGAAUUAUUACUUGGGCAAUUUUUUUGCAGCGCUCAAAGCACAUUGCUCCGUUGUGAUUGAGAAGGAAGAACCACUUAGGACACUCAACUCAAGCAAGCCAGGCACCUAAGUUGUUCGGACCCUGGUUCCGGCCAGUGGCUUGGAAGCAAGCUACCCGCGCCAAUCAAAUCUGCCUCUUGUGCUGUUAUAUAAUCUUUGGCCUCUCUCUGCUUCUCGACUUUACCGAUCUUUUUGACAUUCCAUAUAAGGACCUUCAUGUGGAACUAUUGUUGUUUUUACAUUCCCCUCGCACCUUAGCGCUACCUCUGGUUUUUCGUCUUGUGCAGCCCUUAUUUGUCUUUUGUUCUUUGGCCU